rnacentral:lncRNA from 1 species
AACACUUAGCUUCAUUCUCUCUAGACCAAACCUCCGAAAUUUUCUUACCCAUAAGCUUAUAAUCAAAGCCCAACCAUCACAAACAACAAAUCAGAAGCAUCAAGAAGUCAGAAAUCAAAAAUCAAGCUUGAAAAGGUAAGAAACCUUAAAUUCUAGAAAUCCUUCGAUUCGAUGUAAUUGAUGCAAUUGAUUGUUUAAAGUAGUGUAAUAGGGAGUAUAUUAAUGUUCUGGAUUGUAAAAACACAGACCCAUAACAUCAAAGUGCACGAAUUUGAAGAUUUAAGCAAGUUGGAAAAACUAAAUUCUAUUAUUUUUCACCAAAUGUCAGAGGCUAUAACUCUUUGUUCGAUCAUGAGUUUUGUUGUUUAAAGGUUGUUAUGUGUAGCCUGUUAUGUGGUAUUUAACCUCCAAAAAGAAUCAGGUCCAUAUAUAUUAUGGAUUAAGAGUUAUUUAAGG